UUCCUUUCUUCCUCCCUAAUCUCUCCAUCCUCAACAUAGCGGUUACAAAAAGAUGCUUUCCUGAUUCAAUUCAGCUAUCCUGCCACCCUAACUACUCCCAUUAAAUCAAAAGGAAGCCAAUCAAGCCACUCUUGUUCAAGCCCAUUUAAUUAUUGAGGAUGACUCCAGGAAAUCUAAACCAAGUCAGCUGAAUCAUAAGGGGUCAUUUUACAGAUGAGGGAACUGAGGCAAAUAGACUUAAGUGACAUGCCUACAGUCAACAGCUAGUUCAUCUGUAAAAUGAAGGGCAGUUGACUUCUCAGAUAUGAAUUCAUAUUUCAAUCUAUGACCCUAUAAUGUCCACUGGAAAGGUUAGUAAGUCAGCUUUGAUCUUGGUCUGCCUCUAGUCUGGGUAUAAAAGUAGCUCUUGUUCAGAGAAUGGGAGUGGGAGUUACCUUUCUGGCAGAAGAUUUUGUGGGCAAAGGGAGGAAAUCCAGAAAAGGAAAAAAAUAUUUAUGGUUUUCUUCUUGAUUCGCCUGUCUGGGUGCGGUUUCCCUUCUGUUUGGCUGAUCGAGGUUCUGGGUUUUAUUUGGUUCUGAUCCUUUCCCAGUUAGAGGCAACAAAACAAGUGUAUACCCUCAGAAGAGAAUUACUCACAUGUGGAGUG